CCACUAGCUAGAUCUUUGUUCAUGGUUUUUGGAUUUGUAGUUGAUGUUGUUGAGAUUGGUGAAGCUCAAAGGAAGAUAGGGGAAGUUUUAAAAAUUAAGCCUUUGGCUGCUUUAGCUAUGAUUGAUGAAGGAGAGCUAGACUGGAAGAUUGUUGCUAUCUCGUUGGAUGAUCCAAAAGCUCAUCUUGUCAAUGAUGUUGAUGAUGUUGAGAAGCAUUUCCCGGGUACAUUAACAGAAUAAUUAUCAGACUCGAGUCAAUUCUUGAUUUUAGUUCUUUUAAAAGAGAUUUUGUUUUUUCACCAUCUGAUCUAUUAAAACAGGAGUACAAAAUUAAAUUAAUCCUGAGUUUUCAAUAUUAAUUACUUUCAAAUGCCACUGAAACUAUUAUUACUCUUUCCUUAAAAUUAGCUUGUCUUUAUCGAUUAUUUAAUGCUAUACUAUACACUACAAAAACGGAAACAAUGACUUAAAGUCUUGAACAUGAUGAAAUGUUAGGUUAUAAAUCGGAUGACUUCAAAUUAAAUCAUCAAUUCAAUUAUUCUUUCGUAUCGUAUAAUUAUAUAGCAUCUAACAUUCCUCCAAAACACUAAUUAACAUUAACAUCAUGUUACUGGUACCGUAAACUAUAAUAAUAUAUCGUAUAAUUUUUUUUUGUGUUUACGUUAAUAUUAGAUGGUGUAGUUUUUUUUCCAAAUCAGUUCUUCUUUCCUUAACAUCCAAAAAAGGAAGCAGUAGAACAUGAAAAAAAAACAUCAAAUUCAAAAUUUAAAAACAUAAUUGAAAUAUAUUGCAUAUAAUUAGUUACCAAAAAAAA